UACAGAGGGUGCAAGCGUUGUUCGGAAUUAUUGGGCGUAAAGGGCGCGUAGGCGGUGCGGUAAGUCUGUAGUGAAAUCUCUGGGCUUAACCCAGAGGCUGCUUCCGAAACUGCCGUGCUAGAGUGCGGGAGAGGCGAGUGGAAUUGCAGGUGUAGCGGUGAAAUGCGUAGAUAUCUGCAGGAACACCCGUGGCGAAGGCGGCUCUCUGGGACGGUACUGACGCUGAGACGCGAAAGCGUGGGGAGCGAACAGG
rnacentral:rRNA from 1 species